GACGAACGCUGGCGGCGUGCUUAACACAUGCAAGUCGAGCGGUAAGGCCCUUUCGGGGGUACACGAGCGGCGAACGGGUGAGUAACACGUGGGUGACCUGCCCUCAGCUCUGGGGAUAAGCCCGGGAAACUGGGUCUAAUACUGGAUAUGACUCCAUGGCGCAUGUUGUGGGGUGAAAGCCUUGUGCGGCUGAGGAUGGGCCCGCGGCCUAUCAGCUUGUUGGUGGGGNGAUGGCCUACCAAGGCGACGACGGGUAGCCGGCCUGAGAGGGCGACCGGCCACACUGGGACUGAGACACGGCCCAGACUCCUACGGGAGGCAGCAGUGGGGAAUCUUGCGCAAUGGGCGAAAGCCUGACGCAGCGACGCCGCGUGAGGG
rnacentral:rRNA from 1 species